UACGAAGGGGGCUAGCGUUGCUCGGAAUCGACUGGGACGGUAAAGGGCGCGUGAGGCGGCCAUUCAAGUCGGGGGUGAAAGCCUGUGGCUCAACCACAGAAUUGCCUUCGAAUACUGUUUGGCUUGAGUAUGGUAGAGGUCAGUGGAACUGCGAGUGUAGAGGUGAAAUUCGUAGAUAUUCGCAAGAACACCAGUGGCGAAGGCGGCUGACUGGACCAUUACUGGACGCUGAGGCGCGAAAGCGAGGGGAGCAAACAGGG
rnacentral:rRNA from 1 species